rnacentral:rRNA from 1 species
AGUAACACGUGAGCAACCUGCCUUUCAGAGGGGGAUAACAGCCGGAAACGGCUGCUAAUACCGCAUGAUGUUGCGGGGGCACAUGCCCCUGCAACCAAAGGAGCAAUCCGCUGAAAGAUGGGCUCGCGUCCGAUUAGCUAGUUGGUGAGGUAACGGCCCACCAAGGCAACGAUCGGUAGCCGGACUGAGAGGUUGAGCGGCCACAUUGGGACUGAGACACGGCCCAGACUCCUACGGGAGGCAGCAUG